AAUGCAGGAGCUCCGUUGCUGAGAUCUCAUUGUUGGAGCUGGGGGGUCCAACUUUUACCUGAAGUGUGCAAAUAGAUUGCCGACAUUCCAAGGUUCCCCUAGCUGUAAAUAUGUGACUUAUCAAGCAUAGUCAAGCGGUAUCCCUACAUCCGUACAACAUGGAGUCUGUCGUGAGAAGCACCAAGAAGUUGUGUUUGUGGGGUCUGCUGUGGUGGUCGCUGAUCUUGGAGCUGGCAUUGGGGGCCUUAGGGUCCAUGGCGCAACAGGCAUUUGCUCAGAGGGGGGCGACGACGACGACACUGGUUUUGUUCUCUGGAAAGGAAUCCUUGUGGAUAACUACGUCCUUGUCCCGGAGUCCCAGCAGACACAGAGGAGUAAAUGAAAGACAUUGGGCACAACAACCUCUG
ensembl:lncRNA